rnacentral:lncRNA from 1 species
AUGAAGCAGGAUUCGUUCGUGGUGCGUAGGAGGAAUCCGGAGCUGGUAGCACCGGCGCGAGCGACGCCGAGAGAGACCAAGCCGCUGUCCGACCUAGACAACGACUGGUUUCUGCGCUACAUCCAGCCAUGUCUCGAGUUCUUCCGUGCGGUCGAUGAUGACGACGGCCACCACCAUCACCGCCGCUGCCCGGCGGACGCCAUCAAGGCGGCCCUCGCCGAGGCCCUCGUGUACUACUACCCGAUGGCCGGACGCCUGCGAGAACAGCCCAACGGGAAGCUCUCCGUGGAGUGCACCGGCGAAGGGGUGGUGUUCGUGGAGGCGAAGGCGGACGUUCGGAUCGAGGACAUGGGCGAGCCACCUAUGCCGCUUUUCCGAGGAUCUGAUGAGUUCCUUUGCGAUGUUGGAGAUGCCAAAGUCAUCGUUGGGAGGCCAUUGUUCUUCAUGCAGAUCACUCAACUCAAAUGCGGUGGAUUUGUCCUUGGAACCUACCAUUGUCAUUGCAUAGCUGAUGGAUCCGGCAUAUUUCAGUUAUUAAAAGCAAUAUUUGAUAUAGCACGUGGUGAGGCAAAGCCAACGGUACUGCCUGUUUGGGACAGGGAGCUCUUUGUGGCAACAAGUCUAUCACCCCACAUCAUUGAAGAACACCAAACAUUAUUUGAUGAACUGGAGAACGCCAUUUGUGAUGACAUUAUGGUGACUAUGCCCACCGAAAAUAUGGUUUCUGAAUACUUCACCAUCUCUGAAAAACAGAUGUCGUGCCUAUGGCGUUAUGUCCCUUUGAAUCUCACAAAAACAAUCACAAGUUUUGAGUUACUAACUGCAGUUUUGUGGCGGUGCCGCACCGUGGCACUAGGCUAUAAGCCUUGGCAGAAUGUACUCUUAAAGAUAAUCAUAAAUGCGCGGGGGAGAUGGAGAAAACUUCCUUUGGGAUACUAUGGCAAUGGGCUAAUGUACCCUAUAGUUGAGACAACAGUCAAAGAGUUGUGCACAAACCCGCUUGAACACACAAUUGAACUUGUCCGCAAGGCUAAACACAAGAUAAGGACAGAAGAGAAUAUGCAAUUGAUGGUGGAUGUGAUGCCAUUAUGGUAUGAGAAACCGUAUAUCAAAGUACAGAGAAUAUUUGAAACAUGUGAUAUAAAAUGGAUUGGGCAGGACACUUUAGAUAUUGGAUGGGCUAAGCGAAUUGGGGGCGGUAUACCAACUGUUAAUCUACCAGAUACGACAAGUUACCAAUUCAGGUUCAAGAAUGAAAAAAAUGAGAAGCCAAUCGUCAUCUCCAUGUUGUUGCCACGGCCUGCAAUGGAUAUAUUCAAAGAGGAGAUGGCUGCUUGGUUAAAUGAAUACUCCAUCCGUCCCAAAAUGUAAGGUGCAUAAG